rnacentral:tRNA from 1 species
CCAGAAGCCCCCAAACUACACGGAGUCCAGCAGGUUUCUUUCCUUACACUCUUGCCUUGGGACAGCUGGUCUGAAGUGAAGUUGCCCAGUCGUGUCCGACUCUUUGAGACCCCGUGGACUGUAGCCUGCCAGGCUCCUCCGUCCAUGGAAUUUUCCUGGCAAGGAUACUGGAGUGGGUUGCCAUUUCCUCCUUCAGGGGCUCUUCCCUACCCAGGGAUCGAACCCUGGUCUCCUGCACUGCAGGCAGACUCUACCGCAUGAGCCACUAGGGAAAUUCCUCAGAGGCUGUGGAACGUUCUGGCAGGGGCAGAGCCCCUCCCCCGCACUGCCUCCUGCACAACAGCGGGGCGGAAGGAGCAGAGAGGGAGGGAGGCCUCUGAUUGGAGGAGGCUUGGUGAGAGGGCGGGGCGGUGGGCGUGUCCAACGGCCCCUGAAAAAGUCGUUGGGAUCCGUUAAGUUCCAGCGGCACCUCGCUCAUUUUUCUCUAAGGUGGCAUGAAGCUGACUUAGUUGGAGAACGGGCUUAUGGGGAUCUCCCCUUUCAGGAAGAUGAGAACUGCUAUAAGGAUUCAGGAAAACCCCUGAGGCCCAGGAUGUGGAGAACUGAGCGCCCCGUCCCUCACCGCCGAUUCCAUUCUUCCAUCCCAAGGAGGAGAGCCACUCGAAUGUCCUGAAAGACACUGGGACUCCGAGGACAGGAUGGGUCAGUCAAGCCAUAACAGAGCAUGGAGCCAGUUCCUUUGUCCACCCUGUCAUCUUCUAGGAACUAGGAAGCACCCUUCCUGGGUCCCUGCCCCAGUGGACUUCUCCAGUUCUUCCUUCCCAGCCGUUGCUGUGGCAUUAGCCAUCUGGAAAAAGAGCUGCUGGUAGGACCUGGGACUUUUGUUCACACCCAUAAGCCUUCCCUCCAGAUAUCCAGUACUUUGCCUUCAGGAAGGAGACUUGAACUUCAGGCAACAGGAGAAAACCAAACCUUCAAGGGCUUUGGUUCCCUCCAAGGCCAAGGUUCCCAAGAUCCUUGGUUAAGAGGUCUGGGCCACUGCCCUCCCGUCUUCACUCUUCUUUUCCCUGUUUGUCCCAGAGUUCUGCUAUAACCCCAAAGCUUUUCUGUUUACCAUCAACAUGGAAACUUGACUCUUCAUAUAGGUAUAUUUUCCCUCUUUUGUGCAUCAUCUUGUUCCCAAAAACUGCCUUUUCAUGAAGGAGGCUUGUGGGACUCAAGGGGCCUGGCCAGUCACCCAGGCUCCCCCGAAGCCUCAGACCACUGGUAAUGUGGAGAAGUUUAAUAAAGAUGUCAUUACUUCUUGACUUGUAGCUUGU